rnacentral:rRNA from 1 species
UAGUCGAGUUGUUUGGGAAUGCAGCUCAAAAUGGGUGGUAAAUUCCAUCUAAAGCUAAAUAUUGGGGAGAGACCGAUAGCGAACAAGUACCGUGAGGGAAAGAUGAAAAGCACUUUGGAAAGAGAGUUAAACAGUACGUGAAAUUGUCAAAAGGGAAGCAUUUGAAGUCAGACGUGUAUUGCAGUAUUCAGCCUUGCUUUUUGCUUGGUGUAUUUGCUGUAUUACAGGCCAACAUCAGUUUUGGACAACGGAUAAGGGUAUGGAGAAUGUGGCAUCUUUGGAUGUGUUAUAGCUCUAUACUGGAUAC